GGGGAAAGCUCCAGCCGCUCCCGCGAGAGGCAGGCCGACCAGCCAAUCAUGAGCUGGAGCCCGCCCUCCCAGCCAGGGGGCUGGAAUGGGGGCGUGGAUGUGAGCGGCGCUACUGACCAAUGAAAAGAUACUUGCUGGACAUCGUCACUGGGUUAGAAAGAAAAAGAAAAACGUGGCUUUUUGACAGAGUUACAAGGAAAGCUUCCUCCUUUGAGAAGGGGCCAAGCUCCUCAAGAAUCCCGACUCUGGAGUCUCAGGAAUUUCCAGAAAGAAGAGAAAGGACAAACCCUGUAAUCCAGUGGCACAGAGUCAGAAGACUUAGUUCUAGUCUUGUUCUAACACUUGGUUCUCUUAGUUCUGUAUGUACUGCCACAGUGCAAGUCAUUUAAAUAUCCUCAGCCUCGGUUUUCUCUUCUGUAAAGUCAGAAAAAUCAGCAUUGUGUGGCAGGUAUAAGGGAGUUAUUUUCAGUACAGAAACAACUUGGGAUAUUUGGUUCUGUUUAUAUCUACAAUGAAUCCUCAUUACCAUGAGAAAUCACCAUUUUUACAGGGUUCCAUCAGCUUCAUGGGCUUCUGUUAAAUUAUUUAAAAGCAAAAAUAAAAAUACCUCCUUCAUAACAUUUCCCUAGUUAGAUCCAAUUGAAAGGAAUAAUAAGGGUAAUAAGAAAAAGAAAAUAAGGACAGUUAAUAAAAGAUUACUGAGCGGAGAAGCCACACAGGUCUUCCUUGCUGUGCAAACCCUUCCUCUUUAGCAAUUUGACAUUUUGAGGAUUUGCUUUCCAGAGGAUGCUCAUUUAAUAUUCACAGAGAAAGUUGUAUGAUGGAAGCUUGUUAACUCUGGGAACAGAGAAUAAACUGUCCAGGACACCUCACCUGACACAAUUAGGCUCUGAGUUAUAUGUCAAAUUACCAUAAGCAGCUCCAUACUCUUUGGUUCCCUCCUGCGAGCAUUCCCGCAAUGCUCCACGUGCCCUUCUUGGCUUCUGCUUGUAAUGAAUUAAAUAUAUAAGUCAGAGUCAGAGAUUAAGUUACUGACCUGCCAUCAUUUGAACUAUAAUGGAAUUAAAAAAAACAAAAAGAACACUCAGUUGUAACUUUGAUGAAACUGUGCUAAUUCUAGUCCUUAAAAAAGGGCCACAGAAACCCAAAAGGUCAGUAAAGGUAACCGGGUAGGGAUGGUGGAGAACUGUCUAAGGGACACGCCCUGCCUGAAGGGGAAGCCAGUACUUACUCUGGCCAUGGCAGUGUGGCAGAAAUGCAGGGUCAACAAUGCCAGCGUUUCCAAUUUGUCAAGGAAAGCCAGAAAUUCAUGUUAUGUCAAACCUUCUGGUUUAUCAAUGUGGGCAACUAAUUCAAACAAUUUUUAAAACUCAAUCCAUAAUGUAGACCCAUAAAUCUAUUUCUAAGCCUGGAAAGGAAGUUAGAGUACACCGGAGUUCAACAUCCUCAUUUUUCAGAUGGGGAAAGUGAACUAACUCUAAAGUGGACAAAUGAUCUUCCCAUGAGCAAGUAACUAGUUCCACAGCAGAGCCAGAUCUAGAAAGAAUAGCUGCUUUUGGGGACCUGCAUGACUUUUCAUGAAUGAGAAGAAGGUUAAUGGCUUUUGGCCUAGUUUUAAAAGUUAGUAGACCCAAGUCUGGCUUACAGUGUACUCAGAACAUUAUCAAUUUACCAUUCUUUUUUAUUCUCUCUGGCUUCUGGACAAUGUAUGUGAGGCAUUGUGCAAUUACAUGAGGUGAUAGAGUCGCAUUAAGGUAGGACGUAGGACAUUUUUGUUCCAAAUUGAUUUCCCCCUCACCUGGAGCAUAUCACUGCCACAUGGCUCUACUACAUGAAAGGAGGGGCUAGCGUGUUCCCGUUGGGGAAGGGGAUGCUCGUCAAUCCAAGACAAGCAAGGCUCACUCAGCAGGAGAAGACUAAGUACAAAACUUACGUUCACGUAACACUCCCAUUAACCUCAGUGGGAGUUGUGCUUAUAGGAAUUGCAGGAUCAGCAGUUGAAUAGAGACUGGAAUGAAGCAGUAAAUCUCGAGUCAGAGGUUAUUAUUAGCAUUGUAUAAUUCCAGCUUCAUAUUUGCAAAAGACUUCAUCUUUAUAAUCUAGUGAGAUCUCCCUCUACAAACACUUAGGGUAGGGUCUACAAAAGAACCCUUGUUUAGACCCCAAUUGUUGUGUGUGGUUGAAGAAAUUUGGCAAAUCACACAAGUUAGGACAGGUGCCAACAAAGUUUAGAAAAUAUGCUUAGCUAUUUUUGUCCUAUUGGCCCACAGAUUCAUAAUAUUCCACUGUUAGCGAUCCAUGCCUAGGGCAAGUGUCUGGUACCCUUAAGUAGGUAUGUAAUUAAUAUUUAGUGAGAAAAUGAUAUAAUGGAUGGAUAGGUUCCCAAUCCUUGCCAGAGUAAUGUAGUCAACCUACCAACCUUAUAGUAAGGCAGAAUUAGUGACCACUAAUUCCUUGGAGCCAUCCAAGGAAAGGCAGAGAAUCAAUCAGAGGAACAGGUUCUCCUGGCACAGAGCUCAUGCCCCUUUUAGUUGUGCAUGACUGGAGGUGCUCCAGGUUGGAAUGGGGGCUACUACAUUCAGGCUACUACAGGGCCUCGUCCAGGAGGUAAGCUGAAAAGCCUCUCUGCAGGCUUCCAUGAUGUUUAAAUACCCUUCCCUGCCCCCACCGUGAUAAUGAACGACUGAAAAUACUGUAUUUGAUACAAUAAUCAACGAAGAGAAAAUCAGCUGCUUAAACUCUUUAAGUCCAAUAUCUUUUGAAAAGGGCUUGUAACUAGGGAAGAAUUAGGUCCUUGUUUCUGUGGCUCUGCUGUUAGUAAAUAUGUUAAAAUGUAUACAGUGUUGCAAAAUGUUAAGAAUUAUAUAAUCUAGGUUCUGGGUUAAUGGGUAGUUGCUGUAAUUCUUUAAAACUUUUCUGUAUAUUUGAAAACUGUCAUAAUAAAAUGUUGAGGGGACAGUUACCUACUGUCCAAAGAGCUAUAGGUAGCUUCCUAAACCAUGCUCUGGCAGCAAAAGAAGCAUUGGUCUUUAGCUGGUCCUGGCAUCACAUGCUGGUAGCAACCAUUCAGAUCUAAACUAACAAUAAUCUAAACCAUGAGGACAUCACACAAAUGAGAACACCCAGGCACAGAGAGGUUAAAUGAUUUUCUCAAGGCCAAAAUGCUAAGUGGCAGAGUUGAGAGGGAAAAACACUAUAAACCUUGGCAUCGGGUUUUUGCUCUUAAUCAUCAUUCCACACUGCCUCUCACUCUUGAAGAAGAGGUAUCUAUCUUCUCUUAUCAGGGUUGCACAUUCCUAGGUGUAUAUUUCACCUAUUUCAAAUAUUUAAAUAAUUAUUUAUGGCAUUUUUCUGAGCAAAACACAUCUACUUUAAUUUUAUAUUGUCUAAUACCUAUCUCUUCUAGAUUCUGUCAUACAAUUCUUGAAAUAUAUUUUUAUUGGAAAAUCAUGUAUUAAAUGUUAUUUUUAGGAAAAACGCAACAUGAAUCUCUAUAUUCCAGCCCAAUUUUAUCACCCAACAUCUUUUUGGGGGAACUGAGAGUUCAGAAUGACAAGUUAAAGGCUAAUAAUACCUCCUUCCCCUAAAUUGAGAAGAGCCUAUAAGCCAAAUAACGAGAACACCCUUUCUUUUCAUCAUUUCCCUUCCAGUAGGACCAACUUGCGCUCAUGGGCAGUGAAGUAUGCUUAAUCCCAGCUGUACUAGUCUAACUAAUGCUGUCAUUAAAUUAGGUUAUGACUGGGUAAACACUGACCUCUAAAACCAAGAAAGCACUAUUCAGAAUCAAGGUCAGAGAGACAAACAGGGCUUAAAAGAUACCACCCUGUCCUUCCCUUGAUCUGUAGUAGUAAGUCAGGGUCUCUAGCUGAACCCACUUUGUAAUCUGAGAAUUUCUCCAUUUUUAACAGCUGUAUUAAAGGAGUUUUUCCCUGCAGAAUCCAUUCCAAUGUUUUACAAGGCCUAAAAAUUCUCAUACCCCUGAUCAAAAAUGUCUUGGGCCAUGCUAGCGCCCCCUUGUGUUUGCGCACUGAGCUCAGAGCAACGUUGAAAUUUUCCGAUUAAAACUGUUCAUUGCUUGAAGGCUGUUAUUUUGAAAUGAACUAUCAGCUCCUGAUGACAAGGCUCAUCUUUCUACGUCCUCCGACAAAGUCUUCAAGUACAACUGAUUUAUUUAAUAAUUCUUGAGACUUUCCUUGAUGUUCUUCAUUUCUAAUGAAGUAAUCAACCUUGAAAUAUUCCUCAAAUCUUUAACUAUGGAAACUAGAACUAAGUCUAAUAUUUUCCUGAGAUGUCUUAUAAAGGAAAAGAAAACCUAC